rnacentral:rRNA from 1 species
GAUGAACGCUGGCGGCGUGCUUAACACAUGCAAGUCUAACGAUGAAGCCCAGCUUGCUGGGUGGAUUAGUGGCGAACGGGUGAGUAAUACGUGAGUAACCUGCCCUUAACUCUGGGAUAAGCCUGGGAAACUGGGUCUAAUACCGGAUAGGAGCGCCUACCGCAUGGUGGGUGUUGGAAAGAUUUAUCGGUUUUGGAUGGACUCGCGGCCUAUCAGCUUGUUGGUGAGGUAAUGGCUCACCAAGGCGACGACGGGUAGCCGGCCUGAGAGGGUGACCGGCCACACUGGGACUGAGACACGGCCCAGACUCCUACGGGAGGCAGCAGUGGGGAAUAUUGCACAAUGGGCGAAAGCCUGAUGCAGCGACGCCGCGUGAGGGAUGACGGCCUUCGGGUUGUAAACCUCUUUCAGUAGGGAAGAAGCGAAAGUGACGGUACCUGCAGAAGAAGCACCGGCUAACUACGUG